CAGAGAGGUGCUUUCGGCUCCCUGUUUCUGUUUCAGCUAGUCCUCAAUCUGGUCUGGUGUUCAAGCCCUGCCUGCAGAGUCAAAUCCAGCCUCCGACUUCAUCAUGACAAACACCCUAAGUAACUAAAGAGGUGAAAAUAGGGAAAGGCUUGGUCUUCCAGUAUAAAACUGCUUCUUAAUUGUGCUUUUUUGUUGUUGCUGCUUCAGGUUAAACGUAAAGACUAAUGAAAAACGUUAAAGGAAGAUAUGUUUUGGCUCUCAGUAGGAAAGUUUACCACCACUCGCAGCACUACUCGCCUUCUGUGGUCAUAAACAAUAGAGCAAAGACUAAGUGAUGCUUGGCCAGGAGCACUGUGGAGAGGACACUUGCUUGGGAAGUAACGUUAGGUGACGCCUGGUAUCUCUUCUAGUAGUCAGAUUCUGAACAACCAAGCAUGAUUGGACUUCUUCUGAGUUUCUCUCUUCUCUUAGGUGAGGUUAUGUGGCCAACAAGCAAAAUCGAGUAGCUUGUGAAUAGUUAUAACAGGAAAAAGUAAACUUGGGUGAAGACGUGCCGCUCUUGUAGGUGGCCUUGUCCUCUGUUGUUUUUGACAAAGACAGGCUGAGGUAAAAUUAGCUAGCAGCAGUCAGGAUUUGAGAAAAUUUCGGCAGCAUCUGAAGGAAGACUCAAGUAGAGCCCUUAGUGCAGCCAAUAACUUGAUCAAUGUCUAAACUGAAGAUGACUCUUUAAUUCAUGAAGCUCCUGGUCUGUUUGAUAAAACCUGCCCAGAAACAGACUCUUAUAUUCUAGGAAAAAUAAGGACAUUCUUAAACAGUUUUGUAUUGUCAAUAUUUAGGGUGGUUUUGAUCUCCAUGGAAGACACAGAGUCCAAGCUAUGAAAUGGCAAACAUUUAGAAUAUAAUUCUUUUAUUUAGAAUAUACAACUUUCUUCAAAAGUAUUGUUUCUUUAAAACAUGUUAUUUUAGACUGUGUAAUUUACAGAGAGUUUAGAUUACAG
rnacentral:lncRNA from 1 species